rnacentral:rRNA from 1 species
GUGAGGAAUAUUGGUCAAUGGGCGCAAGCCUGAACCAGCCAUGCCGCGUGCAGGAAGACGGUCCUAUGGAUUGUAAACUGCUUUUAUUUGGGAAUAAACUCCGGUACGUGUACCGGCCUGAAGGUACCAAAUGAAUAAGCACCGGCUAACUCCGUGCCAGCAGCCGCGGUAAUACGGAGGGUGCAAGCGUUAUCCGGAAUCAUUGGGUUUAAAGGGUCCGCAGGCGGUCUUAUAAGUCAGUGGUGAAAGCCUACAGCUCAACUGUAGAACUGCCAUUGAUACUGUAGGACUUGAAUUCGAUCGAAGUGGGCGGAAUGUGACAUGUAGCGGUGAAAUGCUUAGAUAUGUCACAGAACACCGAUAGCGAAGGCAGCUCACUAGGUCUGGAUUGACGCUCAGGGACGAAAGCGUGGGGAGCAAACAGGAUUAGAAACCGAGUAGUCC